UACGUAGGGAGCAAGCGUUGUUCGGAUUUACUGGGCGUAAAGAGCUCGUAGGCGGUUCGGCAAGUCGGAUGUGAAAUCUCCACGCUCAACGUGGAGGGGCCAUUCGAAACUGCCGUGACUCGAGUCCGGUAGGGGAGUGUGGAAUUCCCGGUGUAGCGGUGAAAUGCGCAGAUAUCGAGAGGAACACCUGCGGCGAAGGCGGGUUGCUGGGCUGACACUGACGCUGAGGCGCGAAAGCUAGGGGAGCGAACGGG
rnacentral:rRNA from 1 species